rfam:Ceriporiopsis subvermispora B unplaced genomic scaffold CERSTscaffold_5, whole genome shotgun sequence.
GGUUCGAUGGUGUAGUUGGUUAUCACGUCUGUCUCACAAUUCGUGUGCACAGGAGGUCUCCGGUUCGAACCCGGGUCGAACCA